rnacentral:rRNA from 1 species
GACGAACGCUGGCGGCGUGCUUAACACAUGCAAGUCGAACGGAAAGGCCCUGCUUUUGUGGGGUGCUCGAGUGGCGAACGGGUGAGUAACACGUGAGUAACCUGCCCUUGACUUUGGGAUAACUUCAGGAAACUGGGGCUAAUACCGGAUAGGAGCUCCUGCUGCAUGGUGGGGGUUGGAAAGUUUCGGCGGUUGGGGAUGGACUCGCGGCUUAUCAGCUGGUUGGUUGGGUAGUGGCUUACCGAGGCUUUGACGGGUAGCCGGCCUGAGAGGGUGACCGGCCACAUUGGGACUGCGAUACGGCCCAGACUCCUACGGGAGGCAGCAGUGGGGAACAUUACACAAUGGGCGGAAGCCUGAUGCAGCAACGCCGCGAGCGGGAUAACGGCCUUCGGGUUGUAAACCGCUUUCGCCUGUGACGAAGCGUGAGUGACGGUAAUGGGUAAAGAAGCAACGGCUAACUACGUG